UACGUAGGGGGCAAGCGUUGUCCGGAAUUAUUGGGCGUAAAGAGCGUGUAGGCGGUCCGGUAAGUCGGCUGUGAAAGUCCAGGGCUCAACCCUGGGAUGCCGGUCGAUACUGCCGGACUAGAGUUCGGAAGAGGCGAGUGGAAUUCCCGGUGUAGCGGUGAAAUGCGUAGAUAUCGUGAGGAAGACCAGUGGCGAAGGCGGGUCUCUGGACAGUUCCUGACACUGAGGCACGAAGGCCAGGGGAGCAAACGGG
rnacentral:rRNA from 1 species